CACUGUCAGUCUUUGACGUCGACGCCUGCACCAUGGUAGGCGGAAGUUUUUGUCUGCAACAUUAACAACAUUUUAUCGUGAAAUUUCUCCGGGAAAUCGUUUUUAAUAUUUUUUCCACUUAUUUUAAUUUUUUCGUUGUAAUUUGGAAUCAUCAAAAGAAAAACUAGUGCUUAUCGAUCAUUUUUUUUAUCGUCCGCUGACAACCACGUUCGCAUGAUCGCAGCACACUGUGCGACGUGAGCUGUCAACGGUGCUAUUUUCAGAGGGAAAAUCUGUUGACGGUUUUCCGUUUUCAAAAUCAAACGAACAAUUCCAUACGACCGGCCGGGCCAGCGGCUGUGGCGCAGCGAUCAAUACGAGUCGUAACUGUGAUAUAUAGUUAAAUAUUGUACGAAAUGUGUUUAUAAACGCGUGGCUUACCCUUUCUAACCAGUUUACUUACACCUCUGCAUCACACACCAAUUCACACUAUUUCCAUCGGUGCUUAUUUGUUAACAGUGUACCGUGCUAACCCUAAUCCUUUACCCCGCUUUGUGUGGGCUGCCUUUAUUUGGAAGUUUGUACGCCUCUAUCCCGGGAAAACAAUGGAGUCGGAAGCCUUUUUAACACCGCGCAAGCUAUUCCAAAGCGCUCUUGCGCGAACAUCAUCGCGAACGUCGAUGGCCUCCUCGCCAUCGCUAAUGGCCGUGAGGACGCCGACCUCGCUGUCACGGAACAGCACUAGCAGCUGUAACAACACUGCUACCAGCAAUCGUUUCAAUUUACUACCCGUGCUACAAACUCCUCCUUCGCGCAUAUUUAAAGGCCGCAUCGUGAAUCCCUUCGAACCGCAUCUUGUCGAACGGUUGCAUCUGCCGAUGAUCGGGAGUCCUUCGCUCUUCCACCGUCCCAGCACACCGCAGAACAGCAGCAUCACACAGUUCGAGUGGACGAUCGACGAGGUGUCCUCGCUGGGACCGGUGAACGUGGAACCGCACGAGACGCAGUUCAUCGAAACGCCCGACCCGGUCGCGGAGGCUAGGGUGCAGGCCGCUAUCAGUACCUACUUUAAGGAGCACAGCAUAGUGCCCAGCCCGAUCGACUGUCCUUUAAGAAAUCAGAAGAUCGUGCUGUCGAAGGACUCUAGCACCUCCACGCACUCCAGCAGUGGUGGCGCUGUUUCCAGCAAGAGAAAGGUUCGCGAUGGAAUAAGCCAAACGGUUCUGUCCUUCCCACCGCAUCUUCCCAAAGAGAUAGAGGAUGUGUUGCAAACAUAUCUUACCUACAACGAGGAUCAGCAACAGAAACAUGAUACCGCGCUGGAUGAAUCCUCGGCUAGCAGCAUCGAUCACGAUGCACGGGAUGCUUCUUUGCGGCGAAAACUGUUCAACACAUCCGCCCUGAACGACGAUGCGGACGACAGUGAUGCUGGAGGUGCGAGCCGUUACGCCAACUCGAUCGAUGAUUUCGAUCUCAGAGCCUUGAGCCCUGCUCCGGAGUCGCCAGAGGUGCUGGUGGUGGGAGAGCAGGCGAGUGAGCAGGAUCUGAAGCGAUCGCGGUACUACGGCUCGCAGGAAAUGCUCAAUCACAUUCCCGAAAGUGAUGCGGACAGUUCGUUCGGUGCACUGUCGCCCAUCUCGAAAAGCAUGGCCAGUCCUUCGCCAACAGAAGCCUUCGAAUUGCACCAUUCGGACGCUGAUGCUAUUUACCGCAGUACGCCGGAACCUUCCGGGAUUUUCCAUAGUGACAAUAUGUCACCGGAACUUUGCGGUAGCCGUCACUACAUGAGUGGUUCGAUAAAACAUACUGAAUUAACAAACGAACUUGCGGAAGCAAACCUGUCGGCCGACGGCGAAAGGAGCCUUGCCUUAUCAUCGCAAUCGUCUGACUCCUCUCAGCAGACGCAGCACUCCACCACGCCGUUGCGGGGUUUCCGGAGAAAGGAAAAACGCCGCACUAAUCGUAAGAAUUUGUCGCAAUCUUUUCUUCAAAUCUCGGACAAGGAUCGUAACGAAGAGAACCAUUCCACCGAUAGUGCGUGCGAGGUGCGUCAUACACGCACCACUCCAAUGAAAGCAUUGUCACCGAUAAAGGAAAACGCUGGCUUGUCGGAAAAUGUAGUGCCUUGUGUGAACUUCUAUCGCACUGAUAGUGGUUUCAAUGAGGAAAGUCAAAGUAACGACUACGCGAAUGAACUGUCCGAUGUGUCGAUGCUUUCGGAGGAUUUCUCGAACACUCCGGGAAGAAAAAGGCAAGAAAAAACCGGCACCGGUCCCAGGGUCAAUAGCUAUACCAACAAUUGUUCCUCUCCUUUAAGACUGUAACGUGGUCACUAAUCGCCACAAGACUCAUUACGUUAGGGAACGAAAUCAAAAAGCAAGCAAACGUUUCGGCCAACAAACUCUAGCAAAAUUCCUAAUUUGAUAGCUCAAUUGUGUAUUUCGCAAUAUUUAGGUAAUGAUUUUAAUGCUAUGGAAAACGGAAACCGACUCAAACGAAGCGUGUGCACGCACUGAACUGAAUUAGCGGUGGAGAUAGCUCGUUAGACCAAUUACGUAGUGCAACAUUUCAUAGAACGAUUGAAAUGUUUCACCUCCCGCCGAAGCUGUCAGGUUUGACAGGUUGUUUUGACAGCUGCUCUGCUGAGGAAAAUAUUCCGUCGCGGCUCGGGUGGACAUCGCAAAACUCUUCAUAUCUCUGAACAAACUUUGUCCGACUGAUUGCUUUCCUGCCGAUUCCGGAUCUAUCUGG